CUAAAGUAAAACUUUACAGGAUUUUCUAGAAUAAGAAAAUUUGAUUACAGAUAAAUACACUAUGAAUAAAAUCGCGGUUUUCUUUGUAGCUAUCAUCGUCUUGGAAAUAUCUUUGGUCACCCAAGGAAUGCCAUAUCCAUCGGGUGAUAAAUGGCCGCAAGAUAAUGCAGAUAAUAAGACAGGUCGUUUUGGAAAAUGUAUACAUGCGGUCGGAGAUGCGGUAAAAAGUGGUUUUUAUAAAGUCAAGGGUUGCUGUUGUAAACCAGAAGAAG